UGUCGCCGUCGUACGGCAGGGUCUUGUCCCACAGAGUCGGACCGAGGAAAGCAGACUGUGGGUGGCUGGCUGCGCUGCUCUCAUCGUCCAGCUUCUUCUCCUUCUCCUUCCCAAACCCUGAAAAGAAGCACACACAUGGCUUCACUCCAGAAGCUCUGGAAACCCGACGUGGACAAAGAACGUUCUAAACGACAAACACAGCUGCACGGUUUAUCAGCUCUGAAUCAUCAUCACAAUAUCAAAGAACUGCUUGGUACCAGCUUAUGGUACCAGCGCCAUGCAUGUAAAUUCUGCCUGUAGUACAUGCAGCCUGUUGGACGUUCACUGCCAGGAGCUAAGGUGUUCAGCAGGUGUUCAGCAGCAGCGUUACGAUGACUUCCUGAUGAUGAGAAACCAGCCAGCAGAUGUGCAGAGAAAGGUUUAUUCAAGGUUCCUACAUAUUUUUAUUUCAAAAUUCCAAAGUUGAAUUUUUUAAGCAGUUUUUUGAUGGUGUUUGUGCAGCAGAUGGGUUUUAUUAUCCUUAUGUUUCACAGAAAAGGUUGGGUCCAAUUGAUCAAUGUAAUAAAGGGUUGUUUUGCUCGGUUUUUUGCCAUCUAGACUAAUUUAAAUCAAUAAGAUAUUUAACCUUUGACCUGUACGGUCAGGACUGAAUUAUCCUGCAUUAAAUAUUUAUUCUUUAAACUUUGACAUCAUUAUUCUGUUUGUAUAAAUUUGAAAAAAGACAGUCUUAGUGCAUUUUGUAUUGAAAUCAUUAUAAAGUAGUUUUGACAUCAAUAAAGCUGUAAAUGAUC